CACCGGGACACAAGCGACUGCUCUGGGCUGCAGCAUAACUCGAGCCCUCGGUGUUUCCCUUGAGCCGCAGCGACAGAGCCGCAACUCGGAUCAGCUGUGAACGCUCAUUUCCUUCAAACAUCACUGUAUGAAUGUGAUUCACCUGCUUGCUGUGUAGCCCCCCAUCCCGUGAUCCAACAGGAUGCUCCCGGAGGAAAGGACUCGUUUGUUUUGGRUGUUUUGGUGGCCCCCCGCCUUGGGCGAAGACUCAAAUGAUGUGUUUUGCUGAACUCUGUCGAUAGAUGGAGCCAUCUCUCACC